UCGGCGGUGGGACAUCAAGGCAGGGCCGACCGACGAGCGCGUUAAUUAGGAGGCUGAAAUUAUAAUGUUGUGUUAAAGAACAAAGAGUCUCCAAAGGAAAAAUAUGUGCCGCAUAUCUGACAAAGAUAAAUUGGAUUAUUCAAAAUAUUCCUGAUGAAAUGUUACAUUUUGCAACUAAUUAUCAAUCUGUUUUAUCUCCGGACCAGCUGGGCAUUUUUGUGCAUGCAAGACCUGCCUUACCAAUGAUCUUAAGAUGUCACUGUAGCGUUUACAUCUUUUAUUUCAAGAUUUAAAUAACUAGGAAGUAGCUAAUGUAAUUCACUGCUGAGAAGAAAGGCUAGUUAGUUGAAUGCUUUCCAAAGUGAUCUUUUCCUAAUGAACUUCUCUGGACUGUGAGUAAUGAGGCUUUAUUCAAAUAAUGUUUAAGAAAGGUUUUUAUAAUGUAAUUUUUUUAAAGAAAGAGCAACAUUUAAUGCAUUUAAAAUAUCUUUAUUAAUCCUAUACUGCCUCAUGUAGCAUUAAAGCAUUGUGAAUAUUUGGUUUUGUUCCUUCUGAAUGUUCCUUUUGUGAAGAACUGGUUGUAGUAGCAAUGGAGCUAUAGAGAUUGGGCAAUUAUCUCGUAAAUGUUCAGUGAUAUCUUACAAAUUACAGUCUGACAUGAUUACAGAGCCAUUUUGCUGUAAAAGCAUUUGUUGUUUAAGUAUAUUUAUAUACCACAGUGGUCUGUAUUUCCCCAUGUCCCUACUCAGACACUACUCCUAUGUGCAAGCACUGAGCUUUGCUACCCCUUCUAUAGCUCACCUUUGGGACAGCUGUGCUGAGAUUAAUCUGCUGGAGGUGUCAUAAAAGUUUUCUUUUGAGUGUGAUUUUGUGGUAGUUUUCAACUGGAAUAGGAGAGGAUACCUCAUAUGUUCCCUACAACAGCAGUGGUCUGCAAUAUUUUGGAUUCUUUGUGAAGUUCUGAAGUUCUGAAAGCGUUCUGGCAAAUUUUUUUUUUUGGGCACUGAACUGACAGGGUGGCCAAAAAAAAUUAAGAAAUGAACUACUUUAACAUAAUUCCUGCUUGGGCAAUUUCUAGGAAGGGACAACCACAAAUGUAUUUGAGCAAACCUCCCUAUUUUUGAUUAACGAAUGAAGUGGCAUCAUUGAAUAUGAGCUGAUCUCAUCCUCUGAAAGAUUGACUCCUACUGCUUAUGGGGCCUGACUGAUACACCCCAUGGCUACACACUUCUGAAGUUGGCUUUAUUUACAGGAGAAUAUUAGCUCAAAAAGGACUUCACUCUAGAGCUUGAAUUUUUCUGCUUCUAUCUCCCAAUAGUUUAGUUUUAAACACUAUAUCCAGCCUAUAUUCAAAGUUUUCCCAGAGAACAGGAACUGAAUGUGGAGAUUUCAGCCUGUGGAACAUGGAAUAAAACCAAAGCAAUUUGCUCAGCCCAUUGUUUUUUCCUCCCCCUUCUACAGAGUGAAUUUUGUCCCAUCUGAUGAUAAUUUUAACUGUUCAGAGCAGGUUCUGCUUCAUCGUAGAAAUGAAUUCUUUCUGCCUUUCAAAAAGGCUCUUUCCAAAGCUGAUCAGUGCAUUCCCUGCUUUUUUCCAUGCUCUGUCGAGGCCUGAUCCUGCUAAGAGCAGGAGGUGCUUGGCUCAGUGACCUUCUCCCAGAAUUCCUGCCAGUUAGGAGUGGUCAGCACCCAGCAGGAUUUGGCCUUUGCUUUGCACAAAAACCUCCCUCAGUUUGAAUGUUUCAUAAUGUAUGUUUAAACAGUCACAGCUAGCAAAGAACUUUGAUGAGGCAAAGGGGUAAUUGGAUUUUCUUGUUCUAUAAUUAAAAACGUAUAUAUUACAUCCACAUUAAUACCAAAAGAGUUCAUCGUGAUCAGUGUUAUUACAAUGAAUACCAAAGGAUUUAACAGUGAUUGGCCACUUAGUUUAAAGGGUACCUGAAAUCAUUAAAUUGUUUGCUGGAGGGCUUUUAAAGGCCUGUUGGAUCCCCUGCCACUCCAUAUUUUUUUACUCCUGGCCUGCAAUGUGAGGUUUACUUUUACAAAGUAGGAGCAACAGGGUGAUCAUUUUCCUUUAUUAUUCCCUUAUUGACUUCCAGUUAAUUUUAAUCUUUACAUUAAGUGACCUCUAUUAAGCUUGCCAGGUAUCUGAUUACUCUGCCAAGGUUGAGACCAGAAGGCGACCUAUUGCACCACAUCAAUUGUCCUUCACAGAAGCCCUUACUGUUAAUCAAGAGAGGAAGAUUAAAGGAGAUCAGAACUAUCAGCCUGGAGUGAAUUUUGCAUUUGAAUACACCUUUCUACCAGUGUGUGUGUGUAUUGUUCUAGAAGAAAACAAAUAUGAGCUCUCAGGAGCAGCUUCUGCUCAAAUCUCCACUGAGAGAAGUUCUCAAAGCAAUGUGGUAUCGGCAACCUUAACUCUGCCCUUAAACACUCUAAUAUGUUUGUAAAAUUCUAAAUUAGAUACAUUUUAAUAUACGUGUAAAACCCCUAAAUAAGCUUUCUCAUAUUUAGUUUGGACAAAUACAACUUUCCUAUUUUUUUUCUACAAUCCUAAAAUGCUUACCUUUAAUUUUGUUCAGUUCUACACAGGUAUAAAUGAGCUUAAUUGACUCUCAUUCUUAGAAUCACUGAAUCUUUUAGAUUGGAACAGACGUCUAAGAUCAUCGAGUCCAACCAUUAAACCUCCUUAUCUUAGGUUAUUUGAUAGGUCAAGAGUUGACUCUUCUUCAGCACAUGAAUGUUCACACUUUGAGGCAGCUCCUUGGAGGUUGUUGGUCUUUGUUGGUCUUUAAAUUCUUUGAAGAAUUCCUUUUGGAUAAUUCAGAAUUUAGCGUUUGUAGAAUCCCUAAAUUUGUAUCAGUUUGUGAAUUUUCAUGUGGUAAAUCCCAGAGACUCUAAUUCAUUAAACCAUUUGUGUAGGAUAAAUUUUGGUCAAAUAUUAAUUUUCUUGUAUUCCAUUCUUUCAAUAUGUUUUGGAACUUCGCCUGAAAUUCUUAGGGACAAAAACUCUGAAAUUAUUAUUGAAUGCUACAGUGUGGGUCUAGAAAAGAGAUAGUAAAUCUGUGUAAAAAUAAAUGUAUUGAUUGUACCCUGAUUAUAAUUAUGCUGUUAUACAUUACGUUUCUGUAGUUUAAAAAUUUAAUCUUUUGUCUUCAAAUGAUCUCAUGUACAUGACUUCACCUUUGAUCAUCUACAGAAGUAAAAACACCCUUGAAAUUUAAAAAGAAGGUAAGUUGGUGUUAAAAUCAGAGUUUUAGUGCAAUUAAAUAUUUGCAAGGUCAACUACUGCAGUCUAAAAUAUUCUGAACCAGUUCUGAAUAUAUCAAAUUAAUAAAUAUAUUCAUAGAGGGAAAAAAGUGAGAAUUAACCUUUUUCUAGCUAAGAAAUCCAACAGGUGCUUUAAAAAGAGACCUGAUCCUUUGGAAAGAUAUUUUUCGAAAUAUCUUUCCUCUUUUCCCUUUUUCCUGGCAUCCCCAUCCUGCACAAAGCCUCCCAAGCCUGGACAGUUUGUUCAGCUUUCCUAGGAGCUUGUGGAGCUUAAUUUCAGUGCAAGGGAUCCCAAGAGCUUUUCUCUUUUAUAAUCAAUUCUACCUGCACGAACUUACUCUUCAUAUAAAAAUGACCAGUUGGAACAUGAGAAUGUCAUUUUAUUGGGAUUCAGGUCAGUAAUUGUAUUUAUUUUCUUGUCAGAAGAGUCACCUCCAGCAUUCAGUAAUUUGAUCAUUGUGCUUAAUUCAUAAGAAAAUUGGACUAACCCAACUCAGAAAUACUUUUGUUCUAUGGUUAACUCCUGUUUUUAAAUAGUUUUAUAAUAUAAAGUCUUCUAUUUCCUCCAAUUAGACAGAAAAAUUGCUCAGCUCUUCAGCUUUCCAAGGGAAAUUGGGAAUGAUUUAAAAAAUUAUGUGUUGAUGCAUCUUUAUGACUUAAAUCACAGCAAACAUAUUUAUAACUUUUAAAGCAUCGAGCAUCUGUUCUUCUUCUUCCAGGCUGUGCAAACAAGAGUUCUUUGGCUUCCUCUAAAAUAUCCCUUUUUUUCAAAGUCCAACAGGCACACCAUGGUCAAUGACAAGGCAUCCUGAGCCUGGCUUGUUCCAAUCAACUUCUGCAGGAGCGGGAUCGCCAAGGGAUCGCGGGAGUCGGGAACAGCGUUUAGCACUUUGCUGACCUUGAGUCCACCUUUUCAAAACUCCUUCUGGAACCAAGAUUUUUUCCAGCCAUUUUCAAGUGAUUUCUUCCACUUCCUCCAGAGACUGAAACACUUGAUUGACCCGUGAUGUUCAGUGAAAUUCUUGCACUGGAAAAGAAAAAAAUACAGAAAGUUUCUGUGUUGAAAUGUACCAAACCAACAUCCAAAAAUGCAGCUUAAUUGCACUGAAGCCCAGUUUUCUGAAAAUCUGCAUCUUGAAAGCUUCAACUCUCAGACCUGAAGACGUGUUACGAGGUGGUUUUUUCUGGAUGAUCCUGAGAUAAACAGAAACUUCAUAAGAAAAGCUUUUCUUCAUGGUAACCCCACUGUAAUUCCAAGGACUUUUGGAUAAAAUUUGAUAACACUGCAAGGUCCAAAAGGACAGUCAAGGCCAGGAAGCCUUUUCCUUCUUCUGUGGGUGAUCUGGAAUGUGGAUGAAUUUCCAUGAAGAAUGGGAAGAUCCUUGCGGCUGGAUUCCCCCAGAAGUUGUCAGGAUUCAAGGAGCAGAGUGAACGUUAUCCAAGACAAGGUCAAUGAGAUACUCAGAAAUUUCAGCAUUCACAAGUCACGAGAACGGGGACAGAUGAAGCGUUGGGGAUGCAAACUCCCUCAGUCCGUUUUGCCAGACUGGUUCCCUGUUUAACCGUGGAGCAGCCAGGGGAUGAACACAUUUUCCUGUGGGCUCCCCAGUGUCAGCAGUGGAGCACAUUAGUGUCACUUGUGGCUGCAGCGUCCCUGGUGCGGGCGCCUGUCUAAUGGACAGUGGUGGGAGCUGCCGACAUCAAACCCCUGAGCUGGAGCCCAUCAGGCAGCGAGCGGCGGAUGUGUCAACUCCGGCUUCUUUGCGGAAAAUGUUUCUCCUCGUCUCCAGCCCCGUUGCUCCCACUGAGUGUGCAUGCCAGCUUUAGUGCCUGCUCCACUUAUUUCAGGCAAAACCAGUUGUAAAAUCUCUGAGUGGAACAAAGAAUUGCACAUCCAGCUUGCUUCAUGUGAACACUGCAAAAAAAUUAGAGAUGUGAAGAUUUUUUUUAAUAAUCUGAUCCAUCAUCAGCCUCUAAAGAACAAGAGGAAUCCAUGUCUUAGAAUUUUUAAAGACCAAACAAAUAAUUUUCCAUAACCACAGCAUUUUACUUUGGCAAAAUGGAGCUAAGCCCUGAAGACCCAGCAGGUUCCUCUCUGCAGUCUCCAGUGCAUCCUGCACCAUUGGGGGAGAAGGUCCUGCCUGCGUCCUCAUCUCCAGCUUCCCUGCAAAAUCCCAAACAGGCUUCAGCUGGGAAUUACAUGAUCAUUUUGGAUACCUGGUGGUGAAAAAGCAGAGGAGAAACCUCUCCAGCUGCUGUGGUUAUGAUUUUAGGAGGUCUCAUCUUGCAUCUCUUUCACCACUGCCAAAUAUUCCCAAAGUAGUUUCUAUCCCCUCUGUCAUUCCAACUGCAGUGAUGAGCUCCUGGAGACCAAGGUGAGCAGUGCCAAAUCCUGGCAUCCAUCUCAGAAUCCUGGUUUGGGUUGGAAGAGACCAUAAAAACAAUUUAAUUCCACCCUUGCCGUGGGUAGGGCCACCUUCCACUGUCCCAGGCUGCUCCAAGUCCCAGCGUCCAACCUGGCCUUGGACACUUCCAGGGACGGGGCAGACCUUUUUUGGUCUUCAUUUUUCACAGAUAUUCCUGUGAAGGAAACCUCUAAGACGAAUUCUCAUCAAAAUAUGGAUUUGAAACAGGCUUCAAAUGAGUAUCUAACUAUGUGUGAGGUCUCACCAACAUAAAGACUGAGGAAGUUCUUCCUCAGGAUUUUUACAUUUGAACAAGGAGUGAAGGGAAAGGGUGGGAGAGCGAGGAAACAACACUAUGCCUGUUUUACCAGCAAAUAAUUAAGUGUUUUAAAGAUGAAUUUAGGAUUAUUUUGUUAUGGACUACAAAACCACACUCCAAAAAUAACUCAGAUCCAUGUGUUUGCUGAUGCCUGUGUGCUCCCCCAUCCUCCUUGCACAGUCCAUGGUUAUAUCUGGAAAUUCACCCCCUAAAUGCUGGGAUCUUGAGUGGGAAUUACCCUGUCCAGUGGUCACUUCCAAGAGUCAAGCAAGGCAUAAAGAAGAUUUAAGCAGCACAAAAGAGGAGCUGUCUGCUAACGGGGCAGCGAGGGACCAAACCCAGCCACGUCUGGAGGGCUCGUUUUGCCAUUCCUGAAUUCCAGCAGCAUUCCCAAGGAAGUCACCCUGUGGUUCGUCUGCUCUGCUCCUCCUUCAUGUACUCAACAACAAAACACGGGGGAAGGGUCAGUCCUGAUGAUCAUUCUUGGCCUUAAAACCUAUGGACUAUCCUAUCCUGCUGGAAAAUCCUGGUAUGCAGCACUAUUUCUUCAUGCCAGGAGGGUUCUUCCUUCCCCUCAGCCCACUCCCGUGUCCCAUCUGGGCAACUCCGCACCAAACCCUGCAAGUGCACCAGAGCUGAAAUGAGGGAAUGGAAAGGAAGUUCUUUGGCAGGAAACCUCCUCACAUGAAAGGCUUUGGGAUGGCUCUGGAGGCACGUAGGGAGGAAGGAUUUCACUGGAAUCCAUGGCUGCAGAGUGGAAAACCUGAAAAUUGAUGAUUUUUGGAAGGGACCUCAAGGACCAUCUGGUUCCAACUCCCCAGCCAUGAGCAGGGGCAUCUUCUACCAGACCAGGCUGCUCCAAGCCCUCAGGUGCACUGGAUUCAUUGCCUGAAAACUAGGAAAUAUCCUGAUAGAAGGCUUUCCUCCUGAAAAUGGCUGAGAGCUGGAAUUCAUACAGGGGAAUCUUGCAGAUCACAACCAAGCCCUUCAGCUCUUUAAAUAAAGGGGGAAAAUUCUGCAUCAGUGACUGAAGAAACACUUAAAUUAAAGAAACCAGGGAAAGAGCAUGUCCUGCAUCAUCAUUUUCAGAGGAGCUGGAAAUAAACAUGUAUAACCAGAUUUUAGAGAAUAUUCAACACCAGCCUGUUCAUGCUGGGAAGACUGAAGAGCUUCCCCACAGGUUUUACAUAGUGGGAGCUGUAAUUUCUUUUUUAUCCCUAUAUCAAGUGUCAGGCUUUUAUAUAUUAAUCGCUGAUUGGUUUUGUCUUCCUUUAAGAAAUGCAAUCCCUGCAAACACAUCAUCCCUCGGUGCUCUCUGCACAUGGAGAAUGCAAAACCACCUCGAUAAAGCAUUACUGCACUGCUGAAAUCAGCCAGGGUACAGCUCUCACUGCCCCUUUGUGAAUCUCAAAAAUGAAUAUAUUCCAUAAGCUUCCCUCUCUUCCCCUUCUCCACGUUUUCAUUAUUUUUUCCCCUUGCCCUAAAUUCCAUGUGCUUACCCUCUGGGUAUAGGAUUAGUGAGAGAAGUUUAAAAUUCACACGUAUGGGCAGAGAAUGUCCCACCCCAGGUCCAGGUGAUGAUCCUAAGGAUCCCAGCCAGGAGAUGCUGCAGGGAGCUGGUGGCACUUGCUGCAUUGUGACAUCUCAUUGUGUCCUAGUCCUUGGCACCAGCCUGAAGAUCAAGGAAUCACAAAAUACCCUGAGUAUGAAGGGACCCACAGGGAUUGUCAGAGCAGCUCCUGGCCCUGCAGAGACCCCCCAAAAUCCACCCUGGGCAUCCCUGGCAGUGCUGUCCAAAUUCUUCUGGAGCCUUGGGGCCGUGCCCGUUCCCUGGGGAGCCUGGGCAGUGCCAGCACCCUCUGGGGAUGAACCUUUCCUGAUAUCCAACCUAACCCCCCCUGACACAGCUCCAGCUGUUCCCUUGGAUCACCAGAGAGCAGAGAUCCAUGUCUUCCCCUCAGGAGAAAUUGUAACUGCACCGAGCUCUGCCCUCAGCCUCCUCUCCUCCAGCUGAACAUUCCAGGUGCCCUCAGCUGCUCCUCACACGGCUUCUCCUCAAGGCCCUUCCCCAUCCUCCUGGCUCCUUUGGACACUCUCCAAC